rnacentral:rRNA from 1 species
UAGGGAAUCUUCGGCAAUGGGGGCAACCCUGACCGAGCAACGCCGCGUGAGUGAAGAAGGUUUUCGGAUCGUAAAGCUCUGUUGUAAGAGAAGAACGUGUGUGAGAGUGGAAAGUUCACACAGUGACGGUAACUUACCAGAAAGGGACGGCUAACUACGUUCCAGCAGCCGCGGUAAUACGUAGGUCCCGAGCGUUGUCCGGAUUUAUUGGGCGUCAAGCGAGCGCAGGCGGUUUAAUAAGUCUGAAGUUAAAGGCAGUGGCUUAACCAUUGUUCGCUUUGGAAACUGUUAAGCUUGAGUGCAGAAGGGGAGAGUAGAAUUCCAUGUGUAGCGGUGAAAUGCGUAGAUAUAUGGAGGAACACCGGUGGCGAAAGCGGCUCUCUGGUCUGUAACUGACGCUGAGGCUCGAAAGCGUGGGGAGCAAACAGG